CCCACUGUUAAUAUGAAAGUGAAGGUUAGUAUAUUGAGCGUUCAUUUCCAUGAAUAGAUCAAAAUAUAUAUUACUUACCUGGAAUUUGCAGGAUGAUCAAACCAAGCAACUUCUUGGUGCACUAUGUUUUGGAAUGUCAAAGCUCGGAUUCGUUCUAUAAGCUUCCCACCAGCUAUUGCAAAAAGAAAGCUACUCGCUAGCUUUGAUAUCAGAGCGAUUGCACCCAGCACAACACACAGCAAUGCCCAAAAGGUAGAAUCUCUCCGUUGCUGGUCUGGUGAUUCAUAAAAUAUUUUAGCAGCACUAGCCAUUGCUAAACUGAUUGUUGGAAAGAUAGCUCCAUCAAUUGCUGCUGCAAUAGACCCAAAUAGAAGAACUGCAGCCUCCGGUUUGUUUAGGCUAAUUAGGCGCCCCAUUGGUGCUUUAUUUGGUACCUUAUCAUCAGCAUUUUCAUUUUGUCUGGCAGCAUCUGCAAAGUUAUAUUCCAGAAGUUCUGUGGGGCUAGGAACCCCGAAGGGAAGACUUAAAGAAUGACGGCUGCUCCCUCCUGAACUUCUACUUACUGAUCGUCUGAGUGACCCACUCCUUUUAGAUGCUGAGCCUGAUAAUCUAGC
rnacentral:lncRNA from 1 species